GCAUGAUAGCUCAGUUGGUAGAACAUGAGACUCCUAAUCUUAGAGUCGUGAGUUUGAGCCUCACAUUGGGCG